rnacentral:rRNA from 1 species
UACGUAGGGGGCCAGCGUUGUCCGGAAUCAUUGGGCGUAAAGCGCGCGUAGGUGGCUUCAUAAGUCCGUUGUGAAAGUCAAAGGCUCAACCUUUGAAAGCCGAUGGAUACUGUGGAGCUAGAGUACGGAAGAGGCGAGUGGAAUUCCUGGUGUAGCGGUGGAAUGCGCAGAUAUCAGGAGGAACACCAAUAGCGAAGGCAGCUCGCUGGGACGUUACUGACACUGAGGCGCGAAAGCGUGGGGAGCGAACAGG